AUUGAACGCUGGCGGCAUGCUUUACACAUGCAAGUCGAACGGUAACAGGCCUUCGGGCGCUGACGAGUGGCGAACGGGUGAGUAAUGCAUCGGUACGUGCCCAGUCGUGGGGGAUAAUGCCGCGAAAGCUGUGCUAAUACCGCAUACGAUCUGCGGAUGAAAGCGGGGGACCUUCGGGCGUCGCGCGAUUGGAGCGGCCGAUGUCAGAUUAGGUAGUUGGUGGGGUAAAGGCUCACCAAGCCAACGAUCUGUAGCUGGUUUGAGAGGACGACCAGCCACACUGGGACUGAGACACGGCUCAGACUCCUACGGGAGGCAGCAGUGGGGAAUUUUGGACAAUGGGCGCAAGCCUGAUCCAGCAAUGCCGCGUGCAGGAAGAAGGCCUUCGGGUUGUAAACUGCUUUUGUACGGAGCGAAAAGGCUCCCUCUAAUACAGAGGGCUCAUGACGGUACCGUAAGAAUAAGCACCGGCUAACUACGUGCCAGCAGCCGCCGUAAUAC
rnacentral:rRNA from 1 species